CCUACGGGAGGCAGCAGUGGGGAAUCUUGCGCAAUGGGCGAAAGCCUGACGCAGCCAUGCCGCGUGAAUGAUGAAGGUCUUAGGAUUGUAAAAUUCUUUCACCGAGGACGAUAAUGACGGUACUCGGAGAAGAAGCCCCGGCUAACUUCGUGCCAGCAGCCGCGGUAAUACGAAGGGGGCUAGCGUUGCUCGGAAUUACUGGGCGUAAAGGGAGCGUAGGCGGAUAGUUUAGUCAGAGGUGAAAGCCCAGGGCUCAACCUUGGAAUUGCCUUUGAUACUGGCUAUCUUGAGUACGGAAGAGGUAUGUGGAACUCCGAGUGUAGAGGUGAAAUUCGUAGAUAUUCGGAAGAACACCAGUGGCGAAGGCGACAUACUGGUCCGUUACUGACGCUGAGGCUCGAAAGCGUGGGGAGCAAACAGGAUUAGAUACCCUGGUAGUCCACGCUGUAAACGAUGAGUGCUAGUUGUCGGCAUGCAUGCAUGUCGGUGACGCAGCUACGCAUUAAGUACACUCCGCCGUCGGGGUAGGUACGGUCGGCGAAGAAGUUAAAACGUAACAAUAGUAAGUUAGUACGGCGUGAGACGUGACCGACGGACGACCGACGAGGGAGGUUAGGG
rnacentral:rRNA from 1 species